rnacentral:rRNA from 1 species
CACAGGUAGGCGGGUAGAGGAUACCCAGGCGCGCGAGAGAACUAUCGUUAAGGAACUAGGCAAACUGGCCCCGUAACUUCGGGAGAAGGGGUGCCGGGGAACGGGGAGGCUGUAACGCCGAACUCAACUCCGGUCGCAGCGACAGGGCUCGAGCGACUGUUUAACAAAAACACAGGUCUCUGCUAAGGGGAAACCCGCAGUAUAGGGGCUGACGCCUGCCCAACGCCAGAAGGUUAAAGGGAGAGGUGAAGGGGAGCCUUCGGGCAAACUGGCAGCUUUGAACUGAAGCCCUGGUGAGUGGCGGCCGUAACUAUAACGGUCCUAAGGUAGCGAAAUUCCUUGUCGGGUAAGUUCCGACCUGCACGAAUGGCGUAACGACUUGAGCGCUGUCUCAACGAUAGACUCGGUGAAAUUGUAGCACCUGUGAAGAUGCAGGUUACCCACAAUAGGACGGAAAGACCCCGUGGAGCUUUACUACACCCUGUCAUUGUGUUCUCUGCUGGUCUGUAGAGCGUAGGUGGGAGCCCGCAAGGGCGCCAAUGGAACACCACCCUGGCCAGUGGGGAGCACUAACCGGUGCGGGUUCGCAGCCCGACCGAGACCGUGGCAGGCGGGUAGUUUGACUGGGGCGGUCGCCUCCCAAAAUGUAACGGAGGCGUCCAAAGGUUCCCUCGGCCUGGUUGGAAAUCAGGCGCAAAGAGUAUAAGGGCACAAGGGAGCUUGACGGUGAGAGCGACAGCUCGAGCCGGGACGAAAGUCGGGCCUAGUGACCCUCUGGUGGGGUGUGGAACCGCCAGGGCUUAACGGAUAAAAGUUACCCCGGGGAUAACAGGCUUAUCUUGCCCAAGCGCUCACAGCGACGGCAAGGUUUGGCACCUCGAUGUCGGCUCGUCGCAUCCUGGGGCUGGAUUAGGUCCCAAGGGUUAGGCUGUUCGCCUAUUAAAGCGGUACGCGAGCUGGGUUCAGAACGUCGUGAGACAGUUCGGUCCCUAUCCAUUGUGGGCGGAAGAGUAUUGAGAGGAGCUGCUCCUAGUACGAGAGGACCGGAGUGGACUGACCGCUGGUGUACCUGUUGUUGCGCCCGCAGCAGAAGCAGGGUAGCUAUGUCGGGAAGGGAUAAGCGCUGAAAGCAUCUAAGCGCGAAGCUCGCCUCAAGAUGAGUACUCUCACCAGGUUAGCUGGGUAAGGCCCGUGGUAGAGAACCACGUUGAUAGGCGGUCCCUGGAAGCGCUGCAAGGCGUGGAGGGCAGCCGUACUAAUCGGCCGAGGGCUUGAUCAU